rnacentral:lncRNA from 1 species
UUCAAUACCGGCCAAAAUUAAAAAAAGAGAUGUAUGGCUGAGGGGAGGAGAGAAAGAACGCAUGCAUGGGGAUUCUGUCGGAGGUUCGAUAAUCUAUGAUAGGACAUCAUAGGCUAAGGAAGAAUGAAAGGAAGAGCAUGGGGAUUCUGUCGGAGGUUCGAUAAUCUAUGAUAGGACAUCAUAGGCUAAGGAAGAAUGAAAGGAAGUCCAUUACUGAGAGAAGUGGUGAUCUCGUCUUGCUUGCUGGGAGAGAGAAAGCUUC